rnacentral:lncRNA from 1 species
CAGCAGUUUUCUAGCACUCCACCUGUGAUGACGCUGGGAACUACCUUCAUGCUUCAGUUUUAAGGCAUGACUGACGAGGUUUUUUGGCUACUGUUUGAAGGAGCCACUGGCGUGCAGCUAGAGACGUUAAUACGGAAGCACAACUGUGGCCAUUCUAGAAGCAAAACCUAAAGUCCUCCCUCUCCAAUCAACAGCACUUGUAGGAGUAGACCCAGGCUUCUGACAAGAGGUACAAUCAGUCCAUCCUUGAGCAAUCCUAACAGUUCAAUACUUAGAAAACAAUGCCAGUCAUUGGUGCU